GAUGAACGCUGGCGGCGUGCCUAAUACAUGCAAGUCGAGCGAACAGACGAGGAGCUUGCUCCUCUGACGUUAGCGGCGGACGGGUGAGUAACACGUGGAUAACCUACCUAUAAGACUGGGAUAACUUCGGGAAACCGGAGCUAAUACCGGAUAAUAUAUUGAACCGCAUGGUUCAAUAGUGAAAGACGGUUGUGCUGUCACGUAUAGAUGGAUCCGCGCCGCAUUAGCUAGUUGGUAAGGUAACGGCUUACCAAGGCAACGAUGCGUAGCCGACCUGAGAGGGGGAUCGGCCACCCUGGAACUGAGCCACGGUCCAGACUCCUACGGGAGGCAGCAGUAGGGAAUCUUCCGCAAUGGGCGAAAGCCUGACGGAGCAACGCCGCGUGAGUGAUGACGGUCUUCGGAUCGUAAAACUCUGUUAUUAGGGAAGAACAAAUGUGUAAGUAACUAUGCACGUCUUGACGGUACCUAAUCAGAAAGCCACGGCUAACUACGUG
rnacentral:rRNA from 1 species